GGUACGGGUGCUGGGACCCAGGCGCAGAGUGGGAAAAAACCACGAAACUCAAAAAGGGGAAAAUUAACAAAGACUUUACUAACAGGUAAACAAACAGGGAACAAACAAGGCCACAAUGGGCAAAACCACAAACUCAAAAAAUAACUAACAAAGCAGAAAACAAGAGGGACUCACAAAUACAGGCAGGGCAGAACACGGUCAGGGCAGAACGCAGGCAGGCAGAGCACAAGGGUAAUUCAAACAAACAGGUAGGUCAAACAAAUACAAGUCAGAAACAAAACACAAACAGGUAAAAAACACAGGCAGGUACAAAGGGUCUGAAACAUACGAUGAAACAUAAGUCGGGAACAAACACAAGACAGAACAAACGCAAGUCGGGAACAAACACAAGCAGGCAGGUACAUGUAAGUCAGGUAACAAACACAAGAAGGCAGCACCCGAGUCAAGGGAACAGAGAACUUAAAUAGACAAGGGGUAACAAGACACAGGUGAACUCAAAAAACAAUCAAACCAGAAGGAGGGGAUAACAAGACACAGGUGGGAACCAUGAUGGGAUAACGAGACAAUUGAAACAA